UGUGUGAGUGUGUGUGUGUGUCUGUGAAUGUAUGUGUAUGUGUCUGUAAGUGUGUGUGUCUGUAAGUGUGUGUACAUUCACAGACACACACACACUCACUCAGA